rnacentral:lncRNA from 1 species
AUGAAAAAUGAAAACAUCACGGACACUUACAAGAGUAACAUAUGUGCAAGUAGAGCACAUUAUGCAUUUUGCUUCGGGAUGGGAAGAGACAUCAUAUCGCAUAGUAGAAUUUAUGCUAGGAGUAUUACUGGCCCCUUUCAAAAACUGCCUGAAUUAGUGCCUGCGCUAGUCGUCCUGGAAUCCACUCAAAGGCUGAAUGGAUCAGGGCCAGCCAGAGGAUCCAGUGAAAAACUGUGCUCUAUUCCAAGUUUAGGUGCAAAAGAGACAUCAUUGAAAGAUCUGCCAAAAAUUUCUGGGCACCAAGCUUCGGGCAGCAGAGUGAAGCAGCUACAGGGGAGAGAAGAAGAACCCAAACUCUGUCGUGAUAAAUCGCAAUGAGGUCGGUGUUGGAAUGAAGGGAGGAAAGGGAGAGGCGGAGGGCCACUGGGACUGUUUACCAAGAGCCUCUUCGCAGACGAAGGGAGGCAAGAAGUGCCGAGAACCUCGAUGCCUGUGGACCGCGAGUCAUUUUGGAGACGGGAGAGGCCUGCUCGGCUCCCGGAAGCCUGCUCACGCGGGUGAGUACUUGACAUGAGGUUCACCUCGUGCUCCCUGUUCUUCAUUAGAUCGUUUUGUUUCAGAUCUAAUCCUAGAUUUUAUUAACACUCUGGGAGACAUAACUGUUGUUUUAUAUUAUCAUUUAUGUCAUCAAGAACAGAGCAAUUCCUUUUUAUUUUUACAUUAUGGUUUAAAAAGUCUAGUUACAAUUACUGAGCACUUCUAAAUGCUGGUAGCACAAGCUCCUUAGUUUUGUACCACUUAAUUUUAUGUCGCUCAUAAAUGUCCUCAUGACAAACAUUUGAGUACAUAUGAAUAUUCCCAAUUAGACGUGAGAAGAGAGGUUUGAAAUUGUGCAAAUGAUGCAGCUUUUCCAAAGUUCCGUCAGUGUCUGUAAGAGAGGUAAAGCUCCUUACAGAUCUGUCUUCAAAGCCUCCUCUUUCCCCCACCAUACAACACUGAACAUUCAUGGACGUGGAGAUUCCCUUUACGUAAAUAAAGCGUCUAAUCUUCACUUUUAAAAAACUUAC